AAGAACGUUGAAUUUAGCACGUUAGAGCUAGGUAAUUGUGAAGCUAAAUUUAUUUUGGAUUUAUGUUAAGUUCUAGUACUGAAACAUUGUAAAAUUGUGUGUUUCAGUUGAGAAGAAUAUCGGGAAGGAACCCGAGGAACCGAGUCGAGGCUAAGGGACGACUCGUUUGAGAUAAGAGCAAGGAAAAAGCAGCAGAGUGAGCUGCUACUGAGUUGAAGAUCACAUCAAGCUUUUGUACGGGUAUUAUUUUAUACCCUUGUAGAUAAUUUUGAUGUAAAUAUGGAAAUGUUGUAUGUAUCAAUGUGGUUGAGCAGUUGUAAAUAAAUUGUAAUAAUAUUUUUU